rnacentral:lncRNA from 1 species
UUUAUUUUUAUAAACUGCAAUUUCAUUUGAAUGAAUUAACUUAAAAUUAUUUGCGUAAAAUGCAGAAUGGGUAAUGUUGAUAGUACCAGGUGAAGCAUCUCUAUGCGAGACCCCGAGCAGGUACUUCAACGGCAUUUGCUUCAGCCGCAGAAACUGCGGUGCGAUUUGUGAGAAAGAAGGCUUCUCUUCCGGAAGAUGCAAAGCUUUCAAGUGCGUAUGCGGCAAAGAUUGCAAUGCUGCUGGAGGAGGUGGUGGCGGUGGUGGCGGAGAUCCAGGCCUAGGCCCACCCGUAGAAGGCCCACCAGAUCAAGGCCCACCGGAAGAAGGCCCACCCGGAGAGGGCCCGCCCGAAGAAGGCCCACCAGCUGGCGAUAUACCCCCUGUUCGUAAAAUUUAAGACCAUGUUCUUGACCACAUUGGUAGAUGAGGACAUUAUUCCAGUCCCUUCUCGACUUGCACCUAAAGUAUUUCAGUGAACAAUUUUAGACUUGCAAUAAAAUCUCGAUUAAGUUUAUGAAGUUUGAUGCAGGUUCCAAAUUAUGCAAUCAACUAGGUUAUUAGAUCUUACAUGGAUUGUAUUUUUGAUUCCCUCUAAACGUGGUUUAAUAGAGAAUAAAUUCAAUACAUAGUCUUUAGAUUUUGCCUAAACAUGACUUAAUGACUAAGAAAUUCAACACAAGCCAGAAAAAAACGACUAAACGACACAUGGCCUGAACGCAAAAUAAAUGAAUACUACUACAUACAUAUAUAUUCUCAAGACAUGCAUAAAGUCCAGAAUAUGCAUACUCCAAACUGUUUUUUCUUAGAGGAAAAAUCGAAAGGAAGGAAUAAAGUCAAUCGGAUGACUCACAUAUUUCAAGUUUCUUGGAAAUGUAACAUAAAAGCAUUAAUAAUUACAAAAUUCCACCUUAAGUUUCAAUUGUCUUCAUUUCAGCUAUGUAUAAAAUCACCUCAAGAAAAAAGAAAGUUUCAUUUAUGUUUGGUUGAGACUAAAUGACUUCAUAUAGGUCACAACUGAAGCGUUAUUCCACUUGUCUGAAUACUCCCAAGGACCAGAAAGUCAUUAGCAUCAAGAAUUUUCGAUUUCAGCAAUAUCAGCAAUUAUAUAUAGUUAAACAAAAAGAAGAAAAACAUACUUGGAAGAACAGAUUUCGAUUGCAAGCAUGGCCAUAAUGUUUUCUGCACUGGUUCUGUUGUUGCAUCUUCUAAUCUCUCGUAAGCCCGCAAAUUCUUGCCAUAUUUCUUAUUCAUUAAUUUAGCAAUAAGGUCUGAUAAAAAGGGACAUCGGUUGAAAUCUGAAUAGAUGCAUAUAUGUGAAAUUCCACUACAAUGUCGUUCUACACAUUGCAUUGUAUUACUAUUGUUCUCUCGUAUUCUCGAACAUAGUACGUUAAGAGGUAGAACUGACUUGUAUUUUUCGAUGCGCUAAUUCAAAUUUGCAGAUAAUGAAAAGAUGCACGUCGAAGCAAGAUUUUGCGAGGCACCAAGCAAGUUAUUCCACGGCGCUUGCUUCAGUGACAAUAA